CUUUUUCCAGGUCAGACCACAAAAAUGGAAUUUUGAAAAGCAUGGAAAAAAGAUCACAGUCUCCCAUACUUGGCCUCCUGCGAAAGAGGGACAGCUUCCACCUCGCCAAUGCAGAAGGAGAAAUAGAAGUUUUGGAAUGCAAUUUUGAAUCUCCCUCUCUAGAAGAAGCAGUUAAAGUUACAGUUUUAUGAAGGCUGUUCACAAAACAAUGUUUUAAUAUUCGAAGUGAACUUCCUACAUAUAAAUAUAAAAAUUAUUUGGAGUGUUAUGUCCAAAAUAAAGGUUUUUUACAGUUUCUAAA